UACGUAGGGGGCAAGCGUUGUCCGGAUUUAUUGGGCGUAAAGAGCGUGUAGGCGGUUUGGUAGGUCCGUUGUGAAAACUCGAGGCUCAACCUCGAGACGCCGAUGGAAACCAUCAGACUAGAGUCCGGAAGAGGAGAGUGGAAUUCCUGGUGUAGCGGUGAAAUGCGCAGAUAUCAGGAAGAACACCAAUAGCGAAGGCAGCUCGCUGGGACGGUACUGACGCUAAGGCGCGAAAGCGUGGGGAGCGAACAGG
rnacentral:rRNA from 1 species